rnacentral:misc_RNA from 1 species
AAGGAUCAUUAUCGAUUUCAGAUUGUCACCUUUUGUGCUGGCUUCAGCAUGUGCACACUGGUGACUUUCCUCCAACCCCUCUUGUGAACCUUUGACCUUGUGCUUUGGCUUUGGCUGGCAGAAGGAUUUAUUUACACACUUAAAUGGAAUGAAAGUAUCUUGUUGUGUGCCCACAAGCACAAAUGUACAACUUUCAACAACGGAUCUCUUGGCUCUC